rnacentral:lncRNA from 1 species
GAGAAUUUAAAAAUAACAUUCCAAUUUGAGAAGACAUUGUAACCAUAAAGCAAGAACAGAAUGCUGCGAAAAGGAACAAAGUGUAUGAAAAUGGAUUUUUAGAAGGUCUUUUCUUUGUCAUCAGUGUUUUAUCUUGUGAAGCAGAUUCUGCUACCUGCCUCCCCAGCAGGCCUUAUCAUGGAGCCCCAUUUCGUUCAGUCUGGGGCAGUGUCAGGCCCUGGGAAAUGGGUCUAACCAAUCUAAACAGAUCCUGGCAUCUCAGCUCCUCUUGCUGGUGACCACUUCAGGCUGGCCAGUGAGUUAGUUGUAAGCCUACAUCUGCUAUGAAGGUGUCUGGAAGAGGUUUUUUCCACCGUCACAAAAAUCCACAAGGAAAGAAAAAGCCACUCAUUUUUGCCUUCUCUGUUGUGUGGCAAGAAUGUGAUUUUUGGAGAACCAUAGGCUUUUCACACCCGGGAGAGAAGGUUCUGCCCACACAUAGGGGAGGCUGCAAGUAGAAGGCCAUUUUCAUCCACGAAGGCAUCAGUGAGCUGCUGAGCCAGCCCCAGCCCCGGGGCCACCUUCAUGCACCCAGUGGAAGGCAGGUACUCAGUGUCCUCUCUGCCGGGGUAAGGACACAGGGUUUCUGGUACUUGUGCAGGACGCACCAGUUGGUACACUUGGCCAGGAGGCCAGUGCCCUCCCAGGCUUGGGGACCACAGUGGGAAGGAAAGGCGGCUUUUCCGGAGACUGUGCAACCUGCUGUUAGCAGAGGCCCUUUUGAAGUUACUUAGAGCUCAAGGUGAUCAACUGUUAUUUGUUCAGUGCCUGGAAUCCAAAGAUUAUUCAUCUGCUCAGAUCAAGAAGGCCAUGGGUCUCAUCCAUGAAGAGCUUCCAGGGCAAGAGGACUUUGUGGUUUCUAUACCUGACCCUGAGGGUCUUCAGGAUCUCAAAGUUUCUCGUCCUGGUCCGAGAGAGAAAAGAAUAGUAUUCUGUGGUCCAGGAAAAUGCCAAGAUGACUAAGCUUGGGCUGACAUCUUGUGGUUGGGCAUGAAAUAGGCGCUUCACUAAGAAAUUACUCUUGAAGACUGACCAAGGGGUGGGAAGGGUGGUACCCUGAGAAAAGAAAAUAAUAAUAACUACUUAAUUUUUUCAGAUUCUAUGAUGAUAUUAUU